rnacentral:lncRNA from 1 species
AUGCCCAAGACUACUCCAGGGUUGAUAGCCUUCUGGACCAGUGCAUGGCUUUACUGGAUUCUACAACAAUCUGUGGCAAAUUGUCUCCAAAGAUGGUCGAAAACUCACCUUAUAAGGAGUACUAAAGGAAGUUCACUAGGCUGAAAAAAAGGAUUCCCAGAAGAUAAUUUGAAUCCACACAAAAAACGAAGUACACACCAAUAAAGGUAAUUAUGUGAUUAUAAAAGACA